rnacentral:lncRNA from 10 species
ACAGGAGUCUCGUUGUGUUACCCCGGCUGAUCUCAAACUCCUGACCUCAAAUGAUCUACUCGCCUCGGCCUCCCAAAGAGCUGGGAUUACAGGCGUGAGCCACUGUGCUCGGCCAUCAGGUAUUCGUUGAGUCUUUGGCAAGGUCUUGGUGUCUCUCUGGGCCCAAGCCUGCUGUCUUUUGCAGCUUGGGGCACAAGAGAUCACGCCACUGCACUGCAGCCUGGGUGACAGAGGGAGACUCCAUGAAGAAGAAGGAGAGGGAGACGAAGGAGAAA